ACAUAAAAUACAGGUUUUAUAUAUUUGGGAAUACUUGAUCGUCCACUUUAGACCGGUAGAAUAACUUGAUCGUCCACUAAAUUAAUAUUGAGAAGGAUGAAACACAUUUUACUCUGUGUUUUUCUUGUUGUUACCUUGCUGCUAGUGUGCGAUGGUCAAGUAAUACCCGGAACUUGUCGGUGUUUCCCAAAUGAUUGUCCAGAUCCAUUUGAAGAGGUAUACUACCCCGGAGACUGUGAGGGAUAUAACGACUAUUACAGACGUAUCAUUUACAAGAGAUGUUGUUUAAUGAAGUUUUGGUUCGUUGAUUGACCAUAGAAAAUCUCCAAAACAAUUUGAGUAUAGAUGCAACGGGUAGAAAUAGGAAAGCCUCACCAUGGGUGGAAUUAUUUGAGACAAAGGGAUUGUUAACUUUGUUAAUACAUUUUUGUACGUCUGUUUGUACUGAUGUUCAAUAAAUACGUUAUUGCAA